rnacentral:rRNA from 1 species
GAUGAACGCUGGCGGCGUGCCUAACACAUGCAAGUCGAACGAGGUAAAUAAGAGGAAGUUUUCGGAUGGAAUCGUAUUUACCGAGUGGCGGACGGGUGAGUAACGCGUGGAUAACCUGCCUCAUACAGGGGGAUAACAGUUAGAAAUGACUGCUAAUACCGCAUAAGCGCACAGUACCGCAUGGUACGGUGUGAAAAACUCCGGUGGUAUGAGAUGGAUCCGCGUCUGAUUAGCUAGUUGGCGGGGUAACGGCCCACCAAGGCGACGAUCAGUAGCCGACCUGAGAGGGUGACCGGCCACAUUGGGACUGAGACACGGCCCAAACUCCUACGGGAGGCAGCAGUAGGGGAUAUUGCACAAUGGGGGAAACCCUGAUGCAGCGACGCCGCGUGAGUGAAGAAGUAUUUCGGUAUGUAAAGCUCUAUCAGCAGGGAAGAAAAUGACGGUACCUGACUAAGAAGCCCCGGCUAACUACGUGCCAGCAGCCGCCGCAG